rnacentral:lncRNA from 1 species
GGAAACCAAAAGUCAGACACCCAAUGCUCAACGAGUUGAACACCUGAAAGUGUUCCCUUUCUCUUUUGAUGCCAGAUCAUGAAAUAUAGAGCAACAAAUAUGAGCUUGUGCACAUUAUGUUACCAGUGACCAGUGACUGUGUAGUAAGGAUCAUGUUCCCAGAUGAUAUGAGCAGGCGUUUCAGCCACCACUCCACUGCAUAUGCCUUCCUCUCCUAUUGAAAGCCUUUCUUGGAUUUCCUGGAUUUCUGGAAGUGGCAUAUACUAGACCAUCUCAUAUGCCAUUCCCAUCUCUUCCGAAGGGCAUGGUGUCUGCAAUUUACAGAAUCAUGCACAUGAACCACUCCAACAGCAAAGAAGCCCCAUGUGGACAUCAUCUAUAAAUUGAACCAAAGAAGUAACCAUGUAAUCAGUUUGUGAAAUGACCAACCCAUUUCAAGAACUAAAAUAAAAUUUAUUCAUAAGCAUAACUUAAGCCUAUC